rnacentral:rRNA from 1 species
AUUGAACGCUGGCGGCAUGCUUUACACAUGCAAGUCGAACGGCAGCGCGGGGCAACCUGGCGGCGAGUGGCGAACGGGUGAGUAAUACAUCGGAACGUACCCAGAAGUGGGGGAUAACGUAGCGAAAGUUACGCUAAUACCGCAUACGUUCUACGGAAGAAAGUGGGGGAUCGCAAGACCUCAUGCUUUUGGAGCGGCCGAUGUCUGAUUAGCUAGUUGGUAGGGUAAAGGCCUACCAAGGCGACGAUCAGUAGCUGGUCUGAGAGGACGACCAGCCUCACUGGGACUGAGACACGGCCCAGACUCCUACGGGAGGCAGCAGUGGGGAAUUUUGGACAAUGGGCGCAAGCCUGAUCCAGCAAUGCCGCGUGAGUGAAGAAGGCCUUCGGGUUGUAAAGCUCUUUUGUCAGGGAAGAAACGGCUGAGGAUAAUACCUUUGGCUAAUGACGGUACCUGAAGAAUAAGCACCGGCUAACUACGUGCCAGCCGCCGCAGUAA